rnacentral:rRNA from 1 species
UACGUAGGGUGCGAGCGUUGUCCGGAAUUAUUGGGCGUAAAGGGCUCGUAGGCGGUCUUUCACGUCGGGAGUGAAAGCUCAGGGCUUAACCCUGAGCCUGCUUCCGAUACGGGCAGACUAGAGGUAUGCAGGGGAGAAUGGAAUUCCUGGUGUAGCGGUGAAAUGCGUAGAUAUCAGGAGGAAUACCGGUGGCGAAAGCGACUCUCUGGACGGCAACUGACGCUGAGGCGCGAAAGCGUGGGGAGCAAACAGG